rnacentral:rRNA from 1 species
GACGAACGCUGGCGGCGUGCUUAACACAUGCAAGUCGAGCGGGGAGGCGAACGGGUGAGUAACGCGUGAGUAACUGCCCCCCUCUCUGGGAUAACAGUUGGAAACGGCUGCUAAUACCGGAUAGUGGGGGAUGACUCGGUUCCUAUCAGCGUGUUGGUUGGGUAGUGGCCUACUAAGGCGACGACGGGUAGCCGGCCUGAGAGGUCGACCGGCCACAGUGGGCUGAGAUACGGCCCAAACUCCUCCGGGCGGCAGCAGUGGGGAAUAUUGCACAAUGGGGGAAACCCUGAUGCAGCAACGCGCGUGCGGGAUGACUGCCUUCGGGUUGUAAACCGCUUUCAGCCAUGACGCGGUAGUGGCAGAAGAAGCACCGGCUAACUACGUGCCAGCAGCCGCGGUAAUAC